CGCCUGGGGAGUGCGGCCGCAAGGUUAAAACUCAAAUGAAUUGACGGGGGCCCGCACAAGCGGUGGAGCAUGUGGUUUAAUUCGACGCAACGCGAAGAACCUUACCUGGCCUUGACAUGCAGAGAACUUUCCAGAGAUGGAUUGGUGCCUUCGGGAACUCUGACACAGGUGCUGCAUGGCCGUCGUCAGCUCGUGUCGUGAGAUGUUGGGUUAAGUCCCGUAACGAGCGCAACCCCUAUCCCUAGUUGCUAGCAGUUCGGCUGAGAACUCUAGGGAGACUGCCGGUGACAAACCGGAGGAAGGUGGGGAUGACGUCAGGUCAUCAUGGCCCUUACGGCCAGGGCUACACACGUGCUACAAUGGCGCGCACAGAGGGCUGCAAACCCGCGAGGGGGAGCCAAUCUCACAAAGCGCGUCGUAGUCCGGAUCGCAGUCUGCAACUCGACUGCGUGAAGUCGGAAUCGCUAGUAAUCGUGAAUCAGAAUGUCACGGUGAAUACGUUCCCGGGCCUUGUACACACAGCCCGUCACACCAUGGGAGUGGAUUGCACCAGAAGUGGUUAGUCUAACCUUCGGGAGGACGAUCACCACGGUGUGGUUCAUGACUGGGGUGAAGUCGUAACAAGGUAACCGUA
rnacentral:rRNA from 1 species